rnacentral:rRNA from 1 species
GAUAAACGCUGGCGGCGUGCCUAACACAUGCAAGUCGAACGCCCUUGAGCAAUCAAGGGAGUGGCGGACGGGUGAGGAACACGUGGGUUAUCUACCUUGAGGUGAGGAAUACCGGCGAGAAAUCGCCGACAAUACCGCAUACGCUCGCAAGAGCAAAGUCGUAAGACGCCACAAGAUGAGCCUGCGCCCGAUUAGUUAGUUGGUGGGGUAAUGGCCUACCAAGACGGCGAUCGGUAGCUGGUCUGAGAGGACGAUCAGCCACACUGGGAUUGAGAAC